CCCGUAGCUACGGGGGGCUAGUGGGGGCUGAGCCCCUUCUGGAAUUUCCAAAAAACCUGUUUUUUUUUAAUUUUUCCCAUACAAAAUUUUUUUAACGUCGUUCAGCCCCCUCUGGGAUGUCUGAGAAAUGGUUUCUAGCUACGGGCCUGGUCAAGAUUGAAUCGAAUA